GUCCAUACUGGUUCCGGAGAUUUGUUUUCUAUGGUCUUGUGCUCUUGUUUCUGCCAUUGUGCUGUGGUCUUCUGCCUUUUGCUGGUCCUGGUGAAUGGAGAAAUCACUUCUUGACGUGUGCCUCAAAUUUUCUCUCAUCCUACCAACUUGGUGAAUGGAGAAAUCACUUCUUGACGUGUGCCUCAAAUUUUCUCUCAUCCUACCAACUGGUUGAUUAUGACCUUUAUGUGUAAUUUUCUCUACAUUUGCCGAGCUUUCUCCUUGGUAAUUAUGUAGGCAGCUGCUUUUAUUU
rnacentral:lncRNA from 1 species